AUUGAACGCUGGCGGCAGGCCUAAAACAUGCAAGUCGAGCGGAGCGGCGUACGGGUGAGUAAUGCCUAGGAAUCUGCCUGGUAGUGGGUGAUAACGUCCGGAACCGGGCGUUAAUAACGCCUACUCUCAGUUGAGCCUAGGGCGGAUUAGCUAGUUGGUGGGGGAAAGGCCUACAAAGGCGACGAUCCGGAACUGGUCUGAGAGGAUGAUCAGUCACACUGGAACUGAGACACGGUCCAGGCUCCUACGUGAGGCAGCAGUGGGGAAUAGUGGACAAUGGGCGAAAGCCUGAUACAUCCAUGCCGCGUGUGUUAAGAAGGUCUUCGGAUUGUAAAGCACUUUAAGUUGGUAGGCGUUACCAACAGAAUAAGCACCGGCUAACUUCGUGCCAGCAGCCGCGGUAAUAC
rnacentral:rRNA from 1 species